rnacentral:lncRNA from 1 species
AUGCUGAUUAUCUGCUGGUUGCGGAGGUCAGCGGUCUGAGAUGGCUCUCUCUACAUCUCUACAUGGGUGAACGUCACAAUGUCUGCCUUGUUGGGGUCAAGCCAGGUUCUGCUGGGAAGCCAGUGCUCGUGGUCUGCCAGAGUCCAGGACGGGGCUGUGCAGUCGGCAGGAGGGCACCCUGUCAUCGGCCAGAGCUCCUGGGCUCAGCUCUCUCCCCAGUUCAAAUGAACGGCUCCUGGCGAACGAGAAUCUUGUUUCUAAUUCCCAGUUCCCAAGCUGGCCUGGUCUGUGUGAAGCAGCUACAUGGUCAAGUCAUCAGCGUCAGACAGGGUCAUGAGACUACACAUAAAGGUGUUCACCGAGGGCUGCACGGGGCCCGAGACCCAGCCCAGCCUGGCUCACCCAGCCCGGCUACCUGGCGUGGGCUGGCUGCUGCUGGGAAGGGCCCCUCUCAAAUGCACACAGGCACAACGGCAGCUGAUGACAAAUGGCUCCACUCCUUCCUGCCUUCACGCCUUCUGCAAGGUGACAUUUCAGCUCAUGGGAAGGUGGGAGCUAUUUCCCCACCCCUGCAAUCUGGCAGAUGGCCUUAUGAUUUGUUCUGACCAUACAGUGAGGCAGAAGUGAUGUCAGUUCUGAGCCUAGGCCUUAAGUGCUCUUCUGCCCUUCAGGAGCCCUGUGUGCCAGAGGAUGAGAGACCACAUGGAGCCGAGAGCAGCUGUCCCAGCUGAGGUCCCAGGAAUGUGAGCCCAGCUAAGACAGCAGAGCCAUGUCGCCAACCCUUAGUGACCUCAGAAGUGAGCCCAUCUCAGAUCAGCAGAGCCACUCAGUGGGCCUGGAGGCUCACGGGAAAGAAUUAAUGGUUGUGUUUGAAGCUAUUACAUUUGGGGGAGUUUUGUUACACAGCAAUAGAUAACUGAUACAGACAUCCCAUGGACUAUCUCUGAGCAUCACAUACUAAAAAUGUGACUGCAGGAGCAGUUAAUCAGAGAAGCAGGGUCUCACUGUAACUCAAACAGAGACCCCCAGCUGUGGCUAUGGCCUCUCCAGAGGAGAAGAGUCAUAGUGGUUAAGACACAUAGACAGAGCCUGAAGGCAAGGUUCACUGUGUGGCAGCCAAUCUCCAAAGGUGGCCCCAGGGAACCAUGCCUCCUGGUGUUUCCACCCUUGUUUAGUCCCCUCCCACACAGAAUCUGGAUUGGCCCUAACCCUCACAUUAACCAACAGAAUGCAGUGAAGUGCCACUGUGCCAGUUCCAGGCCUGAGACUUAACAAGACCCAGCAGCUUUGGCCUGUGCGUUCUCAGGAGACUGCUGCCACCUAAGAAGUCUGACCAGCCUGAUGGAGAGGGGCUACCCAGAGGACAUUGAGGGUGCAGAGAUGUGAGUGAUAAGUCAUCUUGGACAUUCUGCCACCAUCUGACGGCAACUGCAUGAGAGACCACAAGCAGAAGAACUACCCAGCUGAGCCCAGCCAACCCACAGAACCCUGAGAAAUAAUAACGAAGUGUUGUUUCAAUGGUGUGUUUGUUACGCAGCAAUAGGUAGCUGGUGCACUCUACUUACCAGCCAAGGGUUCUUGUGCAAGUCAUUUGCGUGAACUCUACUGCACUUUGCAAAUGGGGGUGAUUCUCACUAAUCUAAGCCAGGAAAGUCUACCUGCUCACCCUGGGUAUCAUGAAGAACAGCUUUAGAACAAUACUUUAGUUCCCUCUUACAAAGCCAUAAAGGUUCCAGAAAUGUGAGGUUCAGACUCAGAGAACCCAGUAAUCUAUCAUCCCAAAUACACAUCCGAGAGGGUUGUUCCCCUCUUGAAGGGUCACCGGCAGCUCCUCAUCUCUGGACCUUUCUGGGUCUGCCCUGCCCACUAGUCAGCCCCAUCUCCCAUCCCCCACUGGCCCCUUCCCCAGUUUGUACAUUUGACAACGUAUGACUUGGUGUUCUAGCUGCGGCUCAAAUGCUGCCUCCUCUGACACCUUCCCUGUCCUCUGGGCAGGCUAGGGUGCUCCUCAUCUGUUCCCACAACCACUGCAUCAUGCAUUACAGCUGUCACUGUCCUGUAUUACUGUCUCCCUAAUGAUGACCCCAGAGGGCCAAGACCAGCUCCUUCCACUGUGUGGCACUGAGCAGAGGGUCAAAUACAGAGGGAAGAUCAAUAAGUACUCCUGGGCCAGGUGAGGUGGCUCACACCUGUAAUCCCAGCACUUUGGGAGGCCGAGGCGGGUGGAUCAUAAGGUCAGGAGAUUGAGACCAUCCUGGCUAACAUGGUGAAACCCCAUCUCUACCAAAAAUACAAAAAAUUAGCCAGGCAUGAUGACAGGUGCCUGUAGUCCCAGCUACUUGGGGGGCUGAGGCAGGAGAA